GGGUGUGAGUUGAUUGUGGCUUGUUGUUGAGGUGAUUUUGAGUUCUAUUUUGUUUGGUAUCUGCUUUAUUAAGGUUUAGAAUUCCUAAUAGAUUUGAAAAGGCUAAUGACUUUGACAUGCUUUAGACAUCGAUUUUACAUAGUUGUUUGGGAUCGGGUUUGUUAUUUGAAUUUAAUUUGUCGAUAGUGUAUAUACUUUUGUUAUUCAUUUGGUGCAUAGCUUUGACUCUGUUUUCUUUUAGAGGAAAACACAUUUGCUAGUUGAUUAUAUUUUGUUUCGAAUUGUGUUUCUAUGUAGUUUUGAAUUGUCUAAUAGACUAGUAAAUGUG
rnacentral:lncRNA from 1 species